AAGUUGGGGAGUGAUACGUGGCCAUCUUCUCCCCCUGUUUGUUAGGUGGUUAGCUGCGCCUAGGUAUGUUUCCCUCAAAGGAGAAGAUCCGUUUUGGUUCCUGGAUCUUUGAAGAGGGAGGCUCAGGUGGAGGUAGGAUUUUGGGUAUUUCCCCCUUCCUUUCUGAAGAUACUGGGCUUAGCUCUGGGUGCCUGGGCACUUGCAGACCAUAGAGCCAUUUAAUAACACUAUUAAUCUGGUGUGUUUUUUCUCCACUGUUUUUCACAUAUCCCAGCAACUAUCUACAUGCCUAUGUCUCUCUAGAGUUGCACAAGUAUUAUCGUCGACAUACUUACAUGUAUCUAAAAAUACCUUUUCACUGAAAAGAAAGAAGUGGCUGUCCUGCAACCGACUGUUGCCUGGGUCACUUCCGGAACCUGAAAGAGAUCCCAGGACCCUGACCCCAAGUCCACGAGCUGACCAACGGGUCUACCUCUUCCAGGCGGAGCAUCCUGGCAGUUUGCACAGAGGAAACAGAACCAAAGUUGCCCCCCGGCCCAGGGGAUGGUUAUUGACCCUCAGGUCAGUAUGCAAGCAGGGGUGGCAUCGCCCUGGUUCUGUCAUCUCGGUCUCUGCUGUGAACACUAGGCCCCGUGAUAGCCGCCCGGCUAAGGCCGAUUUAAAGAAGCACCAUGUGGAAUCCCGAGGCGAAGGCAGCCCGUGAACCUCUGCCUGAGCAGCCUGGGGCUCCCCGGAGCUCGAACAGCUCUGGGCUGCGGCCGGCUGCCCCCUCGCCCUCUCUCUUGCAUGAACAAGCACCUGCUCCAAGGUUGCUGUCCUUGGAGGGCUUCUUGCCCCAAACGCACCAGAUCAGGAAACUGAGGAAAAGAAAACAACCACUGAGGCUGCCCCAGUGACAGAUGUCUCUAAAUAGAUACAGACCGUCCUCGGGUUACAUCGCACUCGACGUCUGUUGUUUUGUGGUUACCUCGCCAUCUCCCAUUUAU